rnacentral:lncRNA from 1 species
ACAGCUCGAAUGGUGGAUCGGGGAUUUGAAGGACGUCCUCUUCAACUUUACGAAGCGGCUUACAUGGCAAGACGAAGAGACUGUCGAAAAACUGUUAGCCAAGGUUGAAAAGAUGCACAUCUCCUUCGUCAUUCCUGGCUCGCUGCUGCAUGAGCCCAACGUCUUCAAGUGGACAUGCGAGAGCUACGACGUCAAGUUUGCCGCGCUGCCACCCAUAUUGCACUUCGUCGAAGCCAAGGCAACCGUUCUUCGAAGCCACUGGAACCAUGUGCACACGGGCAUCUCUCUGUGUACCAGCAUCGUAUUUUGGCGAGGUUCUCAAAGCUCCACCAGUUCUGAGGC